UACGUAGGGACCAAGCGUUGUUCGGAUUUACUGGGCGUAAAGCGCGUGUAGGCGGCUCGGAAAGUCGGAUGUGAAAUCCCCAGGCUCAACCUGGGAACUGCAUCCGAUACUGGAUGGCUUGAAUUCGGGAGAGGGAUGCAGAAUUCCAGGUGUAGCGGUGAAAUGCGUAGAUAUCUGGAGGAACACCGGUGGCGAAGGCGGCAUCCUGGACCGACACUGACGCUGAGGCGCGAAAGCUAGGGGAGCAAACAGG
rnacentral:rRNA from 1 species